ACCUAUUCUAAAAGAUAAGGGAUGAUUUAUGUCCUUUCCUCUAAAAAGUUCCCUAGUCUAAAGACCUAGAACCUACACCCUAGACCCCUUUGAGAAUCCGCCGUUGACAAAAAAAAAGGCCCCCUCCCCGAUCUGGUCUUCUUCUCGAAAAGAAAAGAAGCCAUUUUCCAUGGCUGUUGGUUGAACAAGAAAGAACAGAGCCUUAAGAUCAUCCAUGACCCUAGGUCCCAUCUUCCUCAUGGAAACAAAAACAAGAAAACCCUAGGACCCUUCGACCAAACAACCGUCUGGACCUAAGACCAAAGGAGAUCUGCCGCUGUUCCUGUCCAAACCACCCUCACCUAGCCGGAACCUGAAAUUGACGCCAAACAACCAGUCUCGACCUUCCGUUUCCACUCGAACUCCAUACCUCUUCACCCCAAUCAACCCCAUCGCUGGAAACAGACGACUGAAAAUGGCAGCACUAAAAUGCACACCGCUCGAAGCUACAGUCGAGCCCUUCAUUUUCUGGUUUCAUUUUUAAAAAAAAGCUAGUUUCGAUUUGGAAUUUUUGUUAUUUUUCUACUUGAAAAUCACUUGUUGAAUUCCAUCACGAGUCUCCAGAUCCUUUCAUUGUUGGAGCCGUUUGAGUUCGACUCGUGUAGAGGUUGCUGUGGGGGUUUAAGUCCAAGAUUCCGGUUCGAUUUUUGCUGAUUUCGUUUGAAGCUGUGUCGAUUUUUGGCUGUAUUUGUUGCUUUGUUUCAAUCCGUGUACUAUUGGAAAUUUCAUCAAAUGAAAGUUCGAUUUUCAGAUUUCGAUCAAGAUUGAAACCCGUUGGAGUUUCGUUCAGUCAAGGUCUUCAAAGGUCCAUCUUCAUGUUUCCUUUCAAUUUAUGUCAUUUUCUACUGAAAUUUUGUGAAGUAUUGUUGUUUGGUGAUUUGCUAUUCUUCAUUUGUUUAUCUAUUGUGUCAAUGUUGAAUUUGUUUUGGUUUCCUUCACUUGAAUGCAUUUGUCACCACUGUGAAUGAUGCCACCAUGUGUAAUACAGCAAAGAAUGUGCCCUUAUUCUAUUGCAGAGUUGAGAACAUGAGUAUAUGGAGCUCAAUUGUUCACGUACGAAACUGGGCUCCGUGAUCCACUUCACUGCUGGGGUUUUCUUCGAGGCCCAUAUACUUAUGUUUCGUUAGCUACGUGUUAGACAAUUAUAUGAGACUUCAGAGGAGUAGAUAUUGUACUAAGUGUAAUUCAAGUAGAAGCUGAAAUUUGGUAAAUUCAAGAUAUGAACGCCUAUAUAAAUUUAAGGACGACUAUUGUGGUGAAUGUUCGCUUGUUUGAAAUUAAGCCUUUGACACGCAUGUGCG
rnacentral:lncRNA from 1 species